GAACGUAAGCUGCAGAUAACAUAGAAGGUGAUAGCAGUAAUUAGCUACUGUUAGCUAACAUACUGUUUGAAGCGUUCAGUUCAAAGCUAGCAUAACAGCUAAGCCAGCCUGCCUUCAAGGGUUUCUCUUGAUCCUGAGGAGAGCAAGGCCUGGAGAGUCGAGACAAUUCUCCAAGCACCAUGCUCUUGGAUCGUGCUGCAUGGACACAAACAUGAAGAUGAUUCUACAAUGGUCAUCAUUGAAAUGUGGACCCUGCAUAAUGGACCCUCUUCAUCUACAGAGAGAAAAAAGGAAGGAAGGACUCGAACAAAGUGGGGAUAGAAAAAGGUAGGAAGAAAGAACAAAGGAAUGAAAGGACAAAGAAGAAAUA